AGGAGUGUAGUUCAAUUGGUAGAACGAUAGUCUCCAAAACUAUAUGUUGUGGGUUCAAGUCCUGCCACUCCUGCCA
rnacentral:tRNA from 3 species